CACGGCCGAUCGCCUUGAGUUGAUCAUGGCUCAGAACGAACGCUGGCGGCGCGCCUAAUACAUGCAAGUCGAGCGAGAAGACGUAGCAAUACGUUUGUAAAGCGGCGAACGGGUGAGGAAUACAUGGGUAACCUACCCUCGAGUGGGGAAUAACUAGCCGAAAGGUUAGCUAAUACCGCGUACGCUCCUUGGACUUCGGUUCAGGGAGGAAAGCGAUACCGUGGGUAUCGCGCUCUUGGAUGGGCUCAUGUCCUAUCAGCUUGUUGGUGAGGUAACGGCUCACCAAGGCUUCGACGGGUAGCUGGUCUGAGAGGACGAUCAGCCACACUGGCACUGCGACACGGGCCAGACUCCUACGGGAGGCAGCAGUAAGGAAUAUUGCGCAAUGGGCGAAAGCCUGACGCAGCGACGCCGCGUGGGGGAUGAAGGUCUUCGGAUUGUAAACCCCUUUCGGGAGGGAAGAUGGAACGAGCAAUCGUUCGGACGGUACCUCCAGAAGCAGCCACGGCUAACUUCGUGCCAGCAGCCGCGGUAAUACGAAGGUGGCAAGCGUUGUUCGGAUUUACUGGGCGUACAGGGAGCGUAGGCGGUUCGGUAAGCCCUUUGUGAAAUCUCCAGGCUUAACCUGGAACAGUCGGAGGGGACUGCCGGGCUAGAGGACGGGAGAGGAGCGCGGAAUUCCCGGUGUAGCGGUGAAAUGCGUAGAGAUCGGGAGGAAGGCCGGUGGCGAAGGCGGCGCUCUGGAACGUUUCUGACGCUGANGCUCGAAAGC
rnacentral:rRNA from 1 species